CCUGGUGGCUAAGUGGUAAAGAAUCUGCCUGCAAUGUAGGAGACCAGGGUUCGAUCCCUGGGUCAGGA
rnacentral:tRNA from 1 species